rnacentral:rRNA from 1 species
UACGUAGGGGGCAAGCGUUGUUCGGAAUUACUGGGCGUAAAGGGCGCGUGGGCGGCAUGGCAAGUCGGGAGUGAAAGCCCGGGGCUCAACCCCGGAACUGCUUUCGAAACUGCCAAGCUAGAGUACGGAAGGGGCAACUGGAAUUCCCAGUGUAGCGGUGAAAUGCGUAGAUAUUGGGAAGAACACCGGAGGCGAAGGCGGGUUGCUGGGCCGAUACUGACGCUGAGGCGCGAAAGCCAGGGGAGCAAACGGG